rnacentral:miRNA from 2 species
GUGGCAUCAUCAAGAUUCACA